GUAAGGAAUAUUGGUCAAUGGACGAAAGUCUGAACCAGCCAUGCCGCGUGGAGGAUGAAGGUCCUCUGGAUUGUAAACUUCUUUUAUCUGGGACGAAAAAAGGUCUUUCUAGAUCGUCUGACGGUACCAGAUGAAUAAGCACCGGCUAACUCCGUGCCAGCAGCCGCGGUAAUACGGAGGGUGCAAGCGUUAUCCGGAUUCACUGGGUUUAAAGGGUGCGUAGGUGGGUUGGUAAGUCAGUGGUGAAAUCUUCGAGCUUAACUCGGAAACUGCCAUUGAUACUAUCAGUCUUGAAUAUUGUGGAGGUUAGCGGAAUAUGUCAUGUAGCGGUGAAAUGCUUAGAUAUGACAUAGAACACCAAUUGCGAAGGCAGCUGGCUACACAUAUAUUGACACUGAGGCACGAAAGCGUGGGGAUCAAACAGGAUUAGAAACCCCAGUAGUCC
rnacentral:rRNA from 1 species